UCGGGAGUAGCUCAGCUGGAAGAGCGCCGGCCCUAUAAGCCGUCGGUCGCAGGAUCGAGACCUGCCUCCCGAA
rnacentral:tRNA from 1 species